UACGUAGGGACCGAGCGUUGUCCGGAUUCAUUGGGCGUAAAGAGCUCGUAGGCGGCCACUCAAGUCGAAUGUGAAACCUCGAGGCUUAACCUCGAGCCUGCAUUUGAUACUGGGCGGCUAGAGUCUGGUAGGGGGAUCUGGAAUUCCUGGUGUAGCGGUGGAAUGCGCAGAUAUCAGGAGGAACACCGGUGGCGAAGGCGGGUCUCUGGGCCGAUACUGACGCUGAGGCGCGAAAGCGUGGGGAGCAAACGGG
rnacentral:rRNA from 1 species